rnacentral:rRNA from 1 species
AUUGAACGCUGGCGGCAUGCCUUACACAUGCAAGUCGAACGGUAACAGGUCUUCGGAUGCUGACGAGUGGCGAACGGGUGAGUAAUACAUCGGAACGUGCCUAGUAGUGGGGGAUAACUACUCGAAAGAGUGGCUAAUACCGCAUGAGAUCUACGGAUGAAAGCAGGGGAUCGCAAGACCUUGUGCUACUAGAGCGGCCGAUGGCAGAUUAGGUAGUUGGUGGGAUAAAAGCUUACCAAGCCGACGAUCUGUAGCUGGUCGGAGAGGACGAUCAGCACCACUGGGACGGCGACACGGCCCCGACUCCUACGUGAGGCAGCAGUGGGGAAUUUUGGACAAGGGGCGCAAGCCGGAUCCAGCAAUGCCGCGUGCAGGAUGAAGGCCUUCGGGUUGUAAACUGCGUUUGUACGGAACGAAAAGCCCCGGGUUAAUACCCUGGGGUCAUGACGGUACCGUAAGAAUAAGCACCGGCUAACUACGUGCCAGCCGCCGCCGUAA